rnacentral:rRNA from 1 species
UACGUAGGUGGCAAGCGUUGUCCGGAUUUACUGGGCGUAAAGAGCGCGCAGGCGGUCGUUCAAGUCGCGUGUGAAAGCCCCCGGCUCAACUGGGGAGGGUCACGCGAUACUGAUCGACUCGAAGGCAGGAGAGGGUAGUGGAAUUCCCGGUGUAGUGGUGAAAUGCGUAGAUAUCGGGAGGAACACCUGCGGCGAAGGCGGGUUGCUGGGCUGAUACUGACGCUGAGGCGCGAAAGCUAGGGGAGCGAACGGG